AAUCCCUCUUUAUGUCUAUAUUGCCUUCUUGAGCAUAUCUGUAUAUAAGUAAAAUAAUAUUCAUGCAUUAUAGGGUAAAUGGCAUUAUCUAUUUAUGAAAUGAAUAAUUGAGCAAAUCUCAGUAUUAAGAACAUGUGAACCAUAGAGUGUGGACCUAGAACCCUAUGAAUGUGUGAAUUUUACUGUGGACUAUAACAAUAGUAAACUUGGUGACAAUAUGACUAGAAGCAUUGGUUAGCAUCAAUGUUGGAACUGUAAAGCUAGCAUAAAGAGCUAGUUAGAAAUUAAAUUGUGGCAUUGUCAGUUAUUGAAUCCUCUAAGGGAGGAUUGGAUCAUACUCACCUAUUAAGUUUUGGCUUGGCGGUGGUCGCCCCCCCCAAGCAGUGCUGUCACGCCCCGGGACCGACGGAGGCCCUCCCGGUAGCAUGCCCAGACCCGCCAUAUGUCCACACAUAUAAGGCGUCUACAAUAAAAGCGGAAGUAAAAACAAGUAGUAGAACAAAUAGAAGAAGUAGUAUAAUUAGGAUAGUAACAACCAGUGAUAUCAGAGCGAAUAAGAUUCUAUCAUCUACACCAAAGUGAAGAAAUAAAGCUAGACAAUAAAAGAAACCAUAAGUAGAACACUAUUAGUCUCAAAAGUACAAAAAUGGUGGUCUCUAAUACACUGGUAAAACUCUCAACCUCUCGCAAAAAGAAAUACAUCGAGAGGUAGACCACCUAACAACUCGUCCCUCGCUGAAGAGCUAGCUAGAAGCAAUGCCCUUCCCUCGGUCCCUGGCCUCACCCGGCGUGGAAGGCUCUGAAAAACAUCGAGAAAAGAGGGCGUGAGAACUAUAAUUUAUAGUUCCCAGUGGGCAAUUACUGACCUCAGCUCAUCGCACCACUAGGCCCCAAAAGAAAAGGGGUAAGUAUAAUAAGCAACAAUAAGAAUAAUAGUAACAACUAUAGAAAGCAUAAUAGACGUGCUAAUCCAUAUGUCUCAAGUAAGCAUGAUGCCAUGGUGAUGUACAUCUACGCUAUCAAAUGGUGAUAUGUCCAAUGCAUACUAAUACGGUUCAACGCAAUAAACAAGUAAACCUCACGAUGCAAUGUGCAAUGCAUAAGGGUAAACACUAUCCAAACAUCCGAGUACACUACUAUGCAAUAAUGAAACCGGCAAGUAUACUAAAUGUAUCAAUGCCAUAUCAUGAGCAUGUCCAAGUAAUCCAACUACCGAUCCUAUCGAGCAGUGAUUGACCAUAUACCACACCGUGUCGAUUUCCAUUUCCAAUUAGGGACCUACCCAAGGUAGUCCAGCUUGUGCCGCCUAAGUGCCUGUGGUAGCCCGACAUUCCUAUACAUGGAAUGUGUCUGUCCCACUCGACCCCGUAGGCUUCUCGAUACCGCACGAGCGAACAUAAGUCGCGUAGGCUAACUCCGGAGUGCCGGCUUGUAGGGAGCGACCCUCACAAGCAUGUGCGAAUGAGCACAAAUGGCAAGCAAGCAUAGUCCAAGUCUCAAGUAACCAAUCCUCAUGUCUCUAACAUGGUAUAGCCACUAGCAUCCCGAAGAUCUAGUUUAAGUCACAAUGUGAAUUUUCAACUUUUGCUACGCCUAGUGCCCCUUGAUGACACUUAGGCAAUCUGGUGUCCAACAUGUAUCCCAAGUCCCUCGAUGGCCCUAUCCACUAGGUUCACACAUGUCCCGAGCUCAAUGCCGCUUGAUGACAUUAGCUCUCUAAUUCACAUACCUUCUAAAUGACAAUCUUGUCAACUUUCAUGUCCCAAUAAACUUAGGUUUAAAUGCAUGAAUCCGAACUCAUUUAUACUAUAGAAGCAUGAAACCAAGUCUCAUGAAGAAUGCUAAAUGCAACCAAAGAUCUCCCAAGCAACUCUCUACUACAUAGAGGUCCAAAAUUUCACUACAUAUAACAUAUGCAUUUUAAGCAUUCUAAAAAUCACAAUAAAUACAUGUAACAAGAAUAUGCAUGCUUUUUCAUUUAACGAUACAUAAUUAAGCACAAAUGAGAAUUUCUCAUUGUGUGGCUAGGUCAAACCCACCGAACCGUCGCGUAGGGUCUCGAUUCGCCGAAUAAAGUUGUCCCCGAGUCUCAAAAUACCCUAAAAGUGAUCAGCGAAGAGAUACGAGGGCAUUACGACCAUCUUAUAAAACCAAUUAUUAACCUAGAAGCAAAAAGGGCCAAAACUCACCUUAAGAGAAGAAAUCUCUUCCAAAGCUCCAAAAGAGAGCUAGAACCCUUCCAAACCAAGCCCAAGGAAGGUUCUAAACCAAUCAAUCUAGCUCCAAAAGCCCUAGGUUCAAAAUGCCCAAAAUAAGCCCUAAGUAUCAAUUCUAGGGUUUCAUCUCAAAAACUUAGCAAAACAAGAUCUAGAGGAGGAAAAUGAGCAACCAACCUCCUUAGAAGCUCCAAUCCUAGCUCCAAGGGUGAAGAUCUCCUCCUAUGCAAGCUCCAAGACCAAGCCUUCAAGCACCAAGGGAGAUGAGAGGGUGAGGAAGAUGCUCCAUGCCCACUAGUAGCUCCAAACUCCUCCUUCCCUCCUUCCUCUCCUUCUCCUUCUUCUUCUUCUUCUCUAACAAGGGUGUAGAGAGGGUUGAGAGAAGAGAAAUGGGGAGAAGAGAGAGUGGAGGGGUCAUAUAGACCCUCUAUUGUAACAAAAUCCCAAGAGGCCCCUCAAAAAUCCAAUAAUACAUCAGCCCGGUCUGGGCAGUUUUCGCCCAAAGGGACCGGUCUCUCCCCAGCAGGGACCGGUCUCUCGCUGCGAACCCGAAAAACCAACGUUCGGGAACCGGUCUCUCCCUGCGCAGGACCGGUCUCUCAUUGCGAAAACGCGCUCGGGGACCGGUCUCACCCACCAGGGACCGGUUGCCUCAGGGCUGCCGCAACACUGCUCAUUGGGGGACCGGUCUCUCCUUCCAGGGACCGGUUCCCGAGAGUGAAAACUCUCAGGACCAAACCAAAACUCAGGUUUUCGAACUUUUUAGGUCGGAAAACAUUCUACGACCCUCCACCAAGUGUGGAAAAGCUCGAAACACAUCCAAACACUCGAACCUCGCAAUUUGCAAAGGUUCAGUGUGUUACAAGUGCACUCCGGAGUGUGUCAUUAACUGGGUUGAUCGUAUAAGCCUUCCCAGUAGACGAUCCCGUCGGGAGGCAGCUUAGGGCCCGAUACUUAGGGAUUGCGUUGGUGAGUUAUAGUUAACCAAAUGGUUAACCAGAUGGAUUGGGUAUUGAUUAUUUAUAGCAUGCAUGCAUAAAUUUUAUAUGUUAUCUACUUUUUGUUUCAGCUUUGUACAGGCAUUGUAGUAGUUGCAUAUUAUAGCUGGUUACUAUCUACUCUCUUUUCUUGUCUACAUAUGCCUGAAUAGACCUAGUGGGUGAGUCGGCGAGGUCGGUGGCCGAACCCACUGGGAGCUUUCAGUAGUUCUCACCCCACUAACCAUGCAGGUUUUAGCUCGUGCUGGGUGGUUUCAUCAACAAGCAUGUUUUUAUAUUGACUACAUGCAUCUAUCUAGCAUUUAUAUGCAUCAAUACGAAAUCAUGUUCUCUUAAACAUAAGGGCGACCUAGUCGCUUCGGUAAGCACAACCCACCUGCUAUUGCAUUCCGAUUGCUUGUCGACACUUGCAAUCGGCCUCCCGCGGCAUCCGGUGCUCGGUUCCGCCGGAACUUGCAGUUGCGCACCAACCGCGCAUCGCUUUGCAGCCUCGGGCAAAAAGGGUCUUCGUUUUGCUGUUACGGUGCUUCAAAUCCGUUUCCAGGAUUUUACGACGUCGCCUCGGCACUCCAGGCGGAAACGAAGCCUAAACGCCCGUUUCUUUAAUAACUUCGCAACGGCUCGACGAAUCGCCGAACUGUCUUCGCCAACGCGUUCGUUUACCUAUCAAUUAGGUUUACGGAGGGUCAAAUGAGAUCAAACCCUACUAGUAGCAAAAUUUGCAUUUUGAACCCUAGGUUUCAUCCUAUGCAAGAACUCAUCAAAUUGAUCCUAGAUUCUAGCAUUUAUCCUCUAUUUAGCAUGCUAGGAUUCCAUAAAACCCAUUUCUAGAGCAUAUAAUUGAAGCUCUACAAUUCUACCAUUAAAGGGCAUCGAAGCUUACCUCUCAAAUUAGCUCCAAAUCAUGGAGAAGAUGAAGAAGAUGAAGGCGAUUCAUCUCCAAGCUUCCAUCUCCACCAAUCCAUUCAUUUUUGGGAGAAAUCUAGAGAGAGAAUGGGAGGCUUUUCCUUUCCUUUCCAUGCGUGUGUGUUGUGUGUAUGCGUGUGUGUGUGUGUGUGUGUGUGUGUGUGUGUUGCAUUCGGCUGAGAAGGAAGGAGAAGAAAGGGAUUUAAUCCCUUUUUACAAGUUAGCCCCUCAACUAUUCAACCUUCCAAUUUAGUCCCUAAAUCUGAUAAGUUUCGUUGGAGCCCUUCUGAAUGUCCGUUUGAGCUCAAAUUUGACAGUCAUGUUCGGUUUAACGUACUGAACAAGAAUAUAUCUUAAGUUUUCAGUUUCGACCCCGUUUGGUUACCGAAAACUGUACCGAACUGCAAUCUUUAUCAUAUAGCCUUCGGAUUUUAUUUCUCACUCUACGGGUGUCAGAAAAAUAUGAAACUUUAAAUCUAACCUCAUAAAAAUAUUUCUGACUUACCCUCCAGUUUUCAUAAUUUUCUGACACUGUGCAUUUUCUGCUAAUUUAUCUGCCCCGUUUCUCACAGAAAAUUCUAAAUCUUCUGUUUUCACUCCGAUUUCAGCACAGGUCGUUUCUAACUCAUAUUUCACUUCUCUAAAUUCAAUAAAAAUAGUAUCUCAUACUAUUUUUAUUUAUUUUUAUUUUUAUAUUUAAAAUCCGGUAUGUUACAUUCCACCGCAACUCACCGGAACUAUUUAAAUGUACACCGUAACUUCAUAGUUUUAGAAGUCCGGUACCUUACAGGUGCUGUCCGUUCGGCGUCUGUGUACAGGCCCGGAUCGACCAAAUUGGCGAUCUCGAGGCGUGACACUACUAGUAAUAGUAUCCUAGUUGUACUCGAAAUAUUAUAUUACCAAUACUUUAGAUAUUUGGAUCUUCUUCUGAUUUCUUCGAAUAUCCAACAAGCUAUAUACUUUGAGACCGGAUCCAUAUUCAGAUCCGACCGAAUCUAGGAGGGAUGGGUGAGGACCUUCCUCUGCUCUGAUUUUCUUCCGAUAAAUUUUUCUAUUCGAAUGAAUCGAAUACAGGUUUAGAUAUGAUCAAAUAGAUAUGAUCAAAUUUUUUUAAUUCGUUUUC
rnacentral:lncRNA from 1 species